rnacentral:lncRNA from 1 species
UGCACUAUCUCCGGCAAACCGGGGGCAGGGAAGAGAAAGAAAAUUUUCCAAAGCUGGAAAUAUCCUCCGGGCACCGCGGGCAAGAGCACUGCAAUACCUUCCCCGCCGGCUACGACGCCCGCCAGCAGCAAAGGCGCAGCGGCGGCCGGAAACCAGGUCGUCCCCGAACGUGGGCAACGUGAGGCCCGGUCGUGCUGGGCGGGGAGACCGAACCUGCUCCCAUUUUGUCACCAGGCCGAGCUUCCUCCGCGAGGCCGGGGUCCGUGUGCCUCCGCUGUCGCGCAGUACAGACAGGCUAGGCCGCGACUCACGCCCAGGCCCGGCGUGGCCUUCGUAGGCCCGCAGCCUCCACCCCGCGCGCCCCGCGGACCUACCCCCCGGCAAACAGAUGCACCAGCGUGUCCCUCUGGCUCAUUCUCUCUUCUGCAUGUCCUCAGGGAGCAGAGGCGGGACGCGGACCCAGCAGGCCGCCACGGCCAGCGGCGAGGGCCAAGAAGAGGGACGUCGGGGAGUGAGCGGAGCCGCCGCGGCGGAUGGCCACCCGCAAACCCACCCCGCUGGGUUCCUGCUCCAGCGAGCUCCGCCGGACUGCGCAGCGCGAGUCGUGAGGAGUCGGAGGUCCCUACAUAAACAGAAGCUCCUAUUGGGUUAGGCUACGUGACGUCACGAGAUUCGCACGCCCCUUUCACGUGAUCACCGAGGGGGCUCCUCAAU